UAGCUGGCUACUCUAAUAUUAUUUGUGCUAUUAUUCUGUCAGUGUGUCUUGCAGGCAGAUCACUGUUACAGGGAACAGGCAAAAUGACUUUUUAAUGAAUUAGCUUUCAGCAAAGUGAUUUUUUGGCACAGUGAUCUGUAGUUCUUUGGAUUCUGAUCUCUGAACUUGGUGUUCAUCUUUCUGUACUGCUUGCUGUUCUAAUCCACAGGGUCCAGUGGAUUCAAUCAACUGAAGACUGAAAAUGUUUGGAAGAUAAUUACAUCUAUAUUGAAGAGUCCUUGUCAGUAUUCUCUAAAAGUAUAGUACAACAACUAUUUGAAUAAAAUUUACAUUGAAUUAGGUAUUAGAAGGUAUAUAAAGAUCAUUUAUUUCAUAUAAAAACAUGGACUUAAUCUAUAUAUAAAGACUAUAUUUGAAGUUACUUUUAUGCAAUAGUGACUAAUAGAAAAGAUUUGAACAUCUAUGGAUUUUGGCAGCACAGUGAUUCCUGGAACCAAUUCCAUACAGAUACUGAGAAUCUAUAUAUCUCCACCACUUGAUUUUGUCUUAAGUUCUGGUACAUCUGGCUGCUUGGUAUUAAGAAUCUCUCUGAAGCAGCUUAGUCUUGCUUAAAUGGAUAAAACCCCACUGUUGAUGAUCCUGUCCUAAACAACAGUGCCAUGCAGGUCUCAGAGUCCCAAUACUGUCUCCCCAUGCUCUUCCACCACUUCACUAGUAAAACUCAAGUUGCAAAAAAGGCAAAGCCUGUAGUCCUUACAAGUCCCAUUUUAGUUAUUUUUUAUGUGUCAUAAUAGUGCUAAAGUUGUAAGAUAUCUUGAAGACUCCUAUGAAAUUAUAUGGAUCAUUUUCUUUGUUGAGUAAAAAUUUUUCUGGCUUUCAGCAGUGCAUUAGUCAUUUUUAUACUAUAGUGAUAAAACACCACGAGCAAGACAGCUUGUAAGGGAAAGUUGAUUUUCGAUUACAGUUCCAUUUACAUAACAGUAGUUGGGAAAGAGAGUAGAUGAUUUUAGUAUACAUUUGACCCAUUUGGGUUGACAAUAUUUUCUCUCACUUAAGUGUGUUUUUUUAUUUAUACAAAGUUAUUCAUCCUUAUAAAACACAGUAUAUUGUACCAAACUCGACUUUUACUAUUAUGUCACAGUAACAAACUUCUUUCAUUGAUGGAAUUCAUUGGCACCAUUUGUCCAAUUAAGCCUGGUAGAAUUAAUAUGUUUUCUAUGCUCUUUAUUUUGUGUCCUAGUUCUUUUUUUCUCUUUUUAAAUAUUUUUUAUUAGGUAUUUUCCUCAUUUACAUUUCCAAUGCUAUCCCAAAAGUCCCCCAUACCCUCCCACCCACUCCCACUUUUUGGCCCUGGUGUUCCCCUGUACUGGGGCAUAUAAAGUUUGCAAGACCAAUAGGCCUCUCUUUCCAGUGAUGGCCAACUAGGCCAUCUUUUGAUACAUAUGCAGCUAGAGACAAGAGCUCCGGGCUACUGGUUAGUUCAUAUUGUUGUUCCACCUAUAGGGUUGCAGAUCCCUUUAGCUCCUUGGGUACUUUCUCUAGCUCCUCGAUUGGGGGCCCUGUGAUCCAUCCAAUAGCUGACUGUGAGCAUCCACUUCUGUGUUUGCUAGGCCCCAGCCUAGUCUCACAAGAGGAAGCUAUAUCAGGGUCCUUUCAGCAAAAUCUUGCUAGUGUAUGCAAUGGUGUCAGCAUUUGGAGGCUGAUUAUGGGAUGGAUCCCUGGAUAUGGCAGCCUCUAGAUGGUGCAUCCUUUUGUCUUUAGGAAUGGCACUUUAGAAUGAGAGAUGGGAAGAAUACAGUCAUGAAGCCAAUGAAGAUGUUAUAGUUAUCUCUUUGCUAUUUCUGUGACAUGAAAGCUAAACGAUGCCUAAGGUAAAACCACUGAUGUAUUUUGGCCAUGCAUAGGUGUAAUUUAAUGUGAUGGCAUAAAUGUAGAUGUAAGUCGUAUAGGCACAUGCCUGUUGUAAGCUAGGCUUUGACAUUUUCUUACUCAUCUUGUUUUCUUCCCUGUUUAUGCUAAGUGACUGAUAAUAGUCAAAACCUUGUGCUAAACGGCAUCGAUUCUGUGGUAGAGAAAAACUGAUCACCAAGAAUUUAACUUAACAAUUUAUUCUUUGAUUACUCAUCAUGUAGGUCAGUGCAUAUAAUCAUCUCUAUGAAAGAAUGCUAACAGAAUUAAAGUCUUGUUCCAGAAAGAGCAGCAUUAACACUGACAUUUGCAAACUUAAGUAGAAACCUCACCCUUCAUACAUACUUUAUCAUAUGCAUUAAUAAACCAAAGUUAAUGGAUAUAAAAUUGUACCGAAACAGAAACUAUUUGUGUUCACUUACUAUUUUUGCCUAACUCAGGUUUCUAGAUAAUAGAAGUGGGGUGUAAUCAUCUUAUAUUUUGGUUUUUUUUUCUUUUUGUUUCUACAAAACAUAAAGUACUCAUGCAUGUACAUAUACACCUGCUAUGGUUUAGUUUUCAUCUUUUAUAGAAAAACCAUUAUAAAUUGCAGAACAGAUAAAACAGAGUUGCAUGAUUAAAUUACUCAAUUUUAAAAUUCAGAGUAAAAAUACAGUAACUUUAAGACAGAUAUAAAAACAGAAAAAAAUAAAAAAAUAAAAACAAAGAGAUUCAUUGUUGAACUUGCUUCAACAUCUGUGAAAAAAACAAAACAAACAAACAAAC
rnacentral:lncRNA from 1 species